UGAAGCACUCAUCACACCCUA
rnacentral:siRNA from 1 species